rnacentral:rRNA from 1 species
ACUCCUACGGGAGGCAGCAGUGGGGAAUAUUGCACAAUGGGCGAAAGCCUGACGCAGCAACGCCGCGUGCGGGAUGAAGGCCUUCGGGUUGUAAACCGCUUUCAGUAGGGACGAACACAGACGGUACCUACAGAAGAAGCACCGGCCAACUACGUGCUAGCAGCCGCGGUAACACGUAGGGGGCUAGCGUUGUCCGGAAUCAUUGGGCGUAAAGCGCGCGUAGGCGGCCCGGUAAGUCCGCUGUAAAAGUCAAAGGCUCAACCUUUGAAUGUCAGUGGAUACUGCCGGGCUAGAGUCCGGAAGAGGCGAGUGGAACUCCUGGUGUAGCGGUGGAAUGCGCAGAUAUCAGGAAGAACACCGACGGCGAAGGCAGCUCGCUGGGACGGUACUGACGCUGAGGCGCGAAAGCGUGGGGAGCAAACAGGAUUAGAUACCCUGGUAG